UUACUUGUUCAAGUGCCAGUGAAACGAACGAUAGAAAAAAAGAAGCAUUCAACUGUUUACCGUUUAACUCCUGUCCCAAUCUAACCUAGUGGGUUCAAAAAGAAGGGACCGCGCUUAAAACAUGAGUAAAUUAAAAGGAUCAACCCUUUUUGAAUUUAUAGUCGAAGUGGUAACCAGCUAGAAGUCGUAACCUGCUCGUAUGAAAGGAUUUCUCGACGUGAUAUAGUUAAUUUUAUUCAACAACGCCAAGAAAUAGAGCUCGCUUAAGAAACAGAAAAGAAUAAAAAAGAUGAAAAAAUAUUCUGUUGAACAAUA